UCUAUUCAACUAAUCUACUACAAUUUUUUUUUGUAUACAUUUUUUUCAUUUCCUUUUUCUUUUAUCUUUGAGAUCGAGAUUUUCAAAUUUUAUUUCUCUUUUAUUUUUGAAAUAACAAAAACUGUACAAUAGUACUACUAGGGAGACUAUAUAAUCUUACAAUUACUCAUCUUAGCAAUUUUAUUGACUCCUAGACUCGAUCGAGUGACAUGCCAC
rnacentral:lncRNA from 1 species